AUAGUAAAAACACAAAAAAAUUAUUUGGUAGGAUAAAUUACCUACUUUUGCCUCUUGUAUAUCUUUCCCAAGAACGAUUUCAACACUGCUUGUACGGCUUUGCUUGGGUGACCUUCAAUGGACGUGAUUAGCUUCUUGUAACUUGUGCUCUCAUAAUCUUCAAAUACGCCCUACAUGUAUAGCCAGCCACAAAAUUUAGAGUGUUGUAUAGUUCCUUCACUUUUGCAACCGAAGAGGGGUCUUUUUUUCCAUAAUUUUCCUGGAUAA
rnacentral:lncRNA from 1 species